AAGAAAUUCGACAGCUGCCCAAAAUGGGCAAGGAAAUGUAAUGCAACUAUUUAAGCUGCUGACACACUCCAUCAUUAAAUCUAAAGUCUUCAGCCGCACACUGACCACAGUGUCACAGUGAUUGUGUGCACUUCUGCUGGAAGCAGCACAAGUCCAUUUGCAACAGACCAGACUCUGCAAGCUUCUCCUGAAGGUAUUUGGCCAAACCCUUAUCAUAUUACUGUAAGCCCCAACAUUGUGGAACUCUAUUGGACAGUGCCAAUAAAGCCAAA